AUUGAACGCUGGCGGCAGGCUUAAUACAUGCAAGUCGAGCGAUCGGCGGACGGGUGAGCAACGUCUGGGAAACUGCCUGAUGGAGGGGGAUAACUACUGGAAACGGUAGCUAAUACCGCAUACCAUCCGUUGUGCCCAGAUGGGAUUGGCUAGUAGGUGGGGUAAUGGCUCACCUGGGCGACGAUCCCUAGCUGGUCUGAGAGGAGGACCGGCCACACUGGAACGGGAAAACGGUCAGAACUCCUACGGGGGGCAGCAGUGGGGAACAUUGGACAAUGGGCGCAAGCCUGAUGCAGCCAGGCCGCGUGUGUAAAGAAGGCCUUCGGGUUGUAAAGCACUUUCGGCGAGGAGGCGUUACUCGAAGAGGAAGCACCGGCUAACUCCGUGCCAGCAGCCGCGGUAAUUC
rnacentral:rRNA from 1 species